rnacentral:rRNA from 1 species
UUGAACGCUGGCGGCAUGCUUUACACAUGCAAGUCGGACGGCAGCGGGGUAGUGCUUGCACUACUGCCGGCGAGUGGCGAACGGGUGAGUAAUAUAUUGGAACGUACCGAGUAAUGGGGGAUAACCAAUCGAAAGAUUGGCUAAUACCGCAUACGCUCUGAGGAGGAAAGCAGGGGACCUUCGGGCCUUGCGUUAUUCGAGCGGCCAAUAUCUGAUUAGCUAGUUGGUGGGGUAAAGGCCUACCAAGGCGACGAUCAGUAGCGGGUCUGAGAGGAUGAUCCGCCACACUGGGACUGAGACACGGCCCAGACUCCUACGGGAGGCAGCAGUGGGGAAUUUUGGACAAUGGGCGCAAGCCUGAUCCAGCCAUGCCGCGUGUCUGAAGAAGGCCUUCGGGUUGUAAAGGACUUUUGUUAGGGAAGAAAAAGGAGCGGUUAAUACCCGUUUCUGCUGACGGUACCUAAAGAAUAAGCACCGGCUAACUACGUGCCAGCAGCCGCGGUAAUACGUAGGGUGCGAGCGUUAAUCGGAAUUACUGGGCGUAAAGCGAGCGCAGACGGUUACUUAAGCAGGAUGUGAAAUCCCCGGGCUCAACCUGGGAACUGCGUUCUGAACUGGGU